rnacentral:rRNA from 1 species
GAUGAACGCUAGCUACAGGCUUAACACAUGCAAGUCGAGGGGAAACGGCAUUAAGUGCUUGCACUUUUUGGACGUCGACCGGCGCACGGGUGAGUAACGCGUAUCCAACCUUCCCAUGACUAAGGGAUAACCUGCCGAAAGGCAGACUAAUACCUUAUGGUCUUCACUGACGGCAUCAGAUGUGAAGUAAAGAUUUAUCGGUUAUGGAUGGGGAUGCGUCUGAUUAGCUUGUUGGCGGGGUAACGGCCCACCAAGGCAACGAUCAGUAGGGGUUCUGAGAGGAAGGUCCCCCACAUUGGAACUGAGACACGGUCCAAACUCCUACGGGAGGCAGCAGUGAGGAAUAUUGGUCAAUGGGCGAGAGCCUGAACCAGCCAAGUAGCGUGCAGGAUGACGGCCCUAUGGGUUGUAAACUGCUUUUGGAUGGGGAUAAAGUCAAUCACGUGUGAUUGUUUGCAGGUACCAUACGAAUAAGAACCGGCUAAUUCCGUG